AUUGAACGCUGGCGGCAUGCUUUACACAUGCAAGUCGAACGGUAACAGGCCGCAAGGUGCUGACGAGCGGCGAACGGGUGAGUAAUGCAUCGGAACGUGCCCAGUCGUGGGGGAUAACUACUCGAAAGAGUAGCUAAUACCGCAUACGAUCUAUGGAUGAAAGCGGGGGACCGUAAGGCCUCGCGCGAUUGGUGCGGCCGAUGUCAGAUUAGGUAGUUGGUGGGGUAAAGGCUCACCAAGCCAACGAUCUGUAGCUGGUCUGAGAGGACGACCAGCCACACUGGGACUGAGACACGGCCCAGACUCCUACGGGAGGCAGCAGUGGGGAAUUUUGGACAAUGGGCGCAAGCCUGAUCCAGCAAUGCCGCGUGCAGGAAGAAGGCCUUCGGGUUGUAAACUGCUUUUGUACGGAACGAAACGGCUCUGGUUAAUACCCGGGGCUAAUGACGGUACCGUAAGAAUAAGCACCGGCUAACUACGUG
rnacentral:rRNA from 1 species